CAGCCUGUACAGAUUUAGAUGUAUUCCAUUUAAUUUUUUUGUUUGUUUGUUGUAAGUGAGCAACAUUGAUAACCCACCAGAGGGUUUUGAUGGCAAUGUAAAUGUCGAGGACUUUUGGGAUAAAGUUUCCAUGGAAAUGAUUUCCCGUGGGUUAGUGCCAAGCAACAAGGCCAUUCCUUUCAUUGUCAGGCCAAGUUACAAGUUCUGGGCUCCAUGGAUAGGGCCUCACACAAGGAGGGGAAGUGUGAUCCUAAACACGGAACACAGUAAGAUACAUUCACCACACAGUGCAAAUGAAGAGAUGGAAUUGACUGUGACAGAGGACCGUCUUAAAGAUGAGCUACUGAAGUUAAAGAUGGAAGCUGUGCGUUCCUUGUGCAGGCAGUGUGGGAUUGACCCUAAGGGGUCACGUCUGGACUUGAUAAUAAGACUCCAGACGGAGAAGAAAA